UACAGAGGUCCCAAGCGUUGUUCGGAAUUACUGGGCGUAAAGCGUGCGCAGGCGGCUUCUCAAGUCAGGGGUGAAAGCCCAGAGCUCAACUCUGGAAUUGCCUUUGAGACUGAGUGGCUUGAGUACGAGAGAGGUGAGUGGAAUUCCCAGUGUAGAGGUGAAAUUCGUAGAUAUUGGGAAGAACACCGGUGGCGAAGGCGGCUCACUGGCUCGUAACUGACGCUCAUGCACGACAGCGUGGGGAUCAAACAGG
rnacentral:rRNA from 1 species